GACGAACGCUGGCGGCGUGCUUAACACAUGCAAGUCGAACGGAAAGGCCCUGCUUUUGUGGGGUGCUCGAGUGGCGAACGGGUGAGUAACACGCGAGUAACCUGCCCCUGACUUUGGGAUAACUUCAGGAAACUGGGGCUAAUACCGGAUAGGAGCUCCUGCUGCAUGGUGGGGGUUGGAAAGUUUCGGCGGUUGGGGAUGGACUCGCGGCUUAUCGGCUUGUUGGGGGGGUAGUGGCUUACCAAGGCUUUGACGGGUAGCCGGCCUGAGCGGGUGACCGGCGACAUUGGGACUGAGAUACGGCAGAGACUCCGACGGGAGGGAGCAGGGGGGAAGAUUGCACAAUGGGCGGAAGCCGAGUGCAGAAACGCCGCGUGCGGGAUGACGGCCUUCGGGUUGUAAACCGCUUUCGCCUGUGACGAUGCGUGAGUGGCGGUAAUGGGUAAAGAAGCACCGGCUAACUACGUG
rnacentral:rRNA from 1 species